UUUACAAAAUGCUUCAUUAUAAUACAUAGACCUACAUAUCAGUAUAUCACCAAAACUACAAUAAGAGCACAACCUCCCAUGCUUUUAUUUUAGAAGCAAGUCUACACCGGGACACAUCACUUCCUGUGUAAUUGUUUGCAUCACAAUGUUUUAACUGUUCUCCUGAGUUUUGCAUGUUUUUACCUCAGAAAAAAAAUCACGACAGGCAGUUAAGCGCUCCAAUCAUUGUAGAGAUUGGUAGCAUGGGGCGGGCAGGAAACUGGGGAGGGUCUGGUCUUCUGGUUCAGUCAAAUGGCGCCAAAGACAUGUGAUAUCCACCUAUGCUUGUGGCCCUGAGAAACAGGCAGGAGGCUGAGCUGAGGAUGAAAAAGGACAACACUAGAACAUCUUUUUACGGCAAGUUUCCAGUCAACCAUGAAAAUGACAGCAGGAGAUUUUGCUCCUCACACUGUGGACAGACAUUCAUCCCUGAAGCAUCACGGCCACAUCACUCCUCCCAGCGCUGGAGCUUCCUCAGCACCAGAAAAGCUGCAGCUUUUCCCUCCAUGUCUGUUCCACCAGUACUUUUCCAUUCUGUUUGAACAUGUGUGUGUUUGCUGCACACUUGUCACAUGUGUCAACUUGCCUGCAGCUGUGUGUGAGGUAAAUCUCACAGUGAGCUGUACCAAAUACACUCAACUGUUUCCUCUG